UAAUACGGAGGGUGCAAGCGUUGUUCGGAAUCACUGGGCGUAAAGCGCGUGUAGGCGGCUAUCUAAGUCUGAUGUGAAAGCCCUGGGCUCAACUCAGGAAGUGCAUUGGAUACUGGAUAGCUGGAGUACCGGAGAGGAGGGUGGAAUUCCUGGUGUAGCGGUGAAAUGCGUAGAUAUCAGGAGGAACACCGGUGGCGAAGGCGUCCCUCUGGCCGGAUACUGACGCUGAGACGCGAAAGCGUGGGGAGCAAACAGGAUUAGAUACCCUGGUAGUCCACGCCAUAAACGAUGGGUACUAGGUGUUCGGGGUAUUGACCCCCUGAGUGCCGCAGCUAACGCAUUAAGUACCCCGCCUGGGGAAUACGGCCGCAAGGUUA
rnacentral:rRNA from 1 species